UGAUCAAGCUACAAAGAGCGCAUCAUGGAUGCCUUGGUGCCAAUAGGCGAUGAAGGACGUGGCAAGCUGCGAUAAGCUACGGAGAGCGGCAAACACGCUUUGACCCGUAGAUUUCCGAAUGGGAUAACCUGAGCGGGGUAAUACCUGCUCGAGCUUCUGUGAAUUCAUAGCAGAAGCAUCGCGACACCCGGUGAAGUGAAACAUCUCAGUAACCGGAGGAAAAGAAAUCGAAAGAGAGAUUCCGUCAGUAGUGGCGAGCGAAAGCGGAACAGGCUAAACCGGGCGAUUUAUCGACCGGGGUUGUAGGAGCCCGACGUGGUAGUGCAAAGGUUAGGUGAAGCUUCUGGAAAGCUGCGCCAUAGAGGGUGAGAGGCCCGUAACCGAAAACCGGAGCACGCCUAGGGAUUUCCUGAGUAAUACGAUGCACGUGAAACUUCGUAUGAAUCUGCGCCGACCACGGCGUAAGCCUAAAUACUCAUUGGCGACCGAUAGUGAACCAGUACCGCGAGGGAAAGGUGAAAAGAACCGCUGUGAGCGGAGUGAA
rnacentral:rRNA from 1 species